rnacentral:rRNA from 1 species
GGGGAAUAUUGGACAAUGGGGGAAACCCUGAUGCAGCAACGCCGCGUGAGUGACGACGGUCUUCGGAUUGUAAAGCUCUGUCUUCAGGGACGAUAAUGACGGUACCUGAGGAGGAAGCCACGGCUAACUACGUGCCAGCAGCCGCGGUAAUACGUAGGUGGCAAGCGUUGUCCGGAUUUACUGGGCGUAAAGGGAGCGUAGGUGGAUAUUUAAGUGGGACGUGAAAUACUCGGGCUUAACCUGGGUGCUGCAUUCCAAACUGGAUAUCUAGAGUGCAGGAGAGGAAAGUAGAAUUCCUAGUGUAGCGGUGAAAUGCGUAGAGAUUAGGAAGAAUACCAGUGGCGAAGGCGACUUUCUGGACUGUAACUGACACUGAGGCUCGAAAGCGUGGGGAGCAAACA